rnacentral:rRNA from 1 species
UACGUAGGGUGCAAGCGUUGUCCGGAAUUAUUGGGCGUAAAGAGCUCGUAGGCGGUCUGUUGCGUCGGCUGUGAAACCCGAGGCUCAACCUCGGGCCUGCAGCCGAUACGGGCAGACUAGAGUUCGGCAGGGGAGACUGGAAUUCCUGGUGUAGCGGUGGAAUGCGCAGAUAUCAGGAGGAACACCGGUGGCGAAGGCGGGUCUCUGGGCCGAUACUGACGC